AGUGAACGCUGGCGGUAGGCCUAACACAUACAAGUCGAACGGCAGCACAGGAGAGCUUGCUCUCUGGGUGGCGAGUGGCGGACGGGUGAGGAAUACAUCGGAAUCUACCUUUUCGUGGGGGAUAACGUAGGGAAACUUACGCUAAUACCGCAUACGACCUACGGGUGAAAGUGGGGGACCGCAAGGCCUCACGCGAUUAGAUGAGCCGAUGUCCGAUUAGCUAGUUGGCGGGGUAAUGGCCCACCAAGGCGACGAUCGGUAGCUGGUCUGAGAGGAUGAUCAGCCACACUGGAACUGAGACACGGUCCAGACUCCUACGGGAGGCAGCAGUGGGGAAUAUUGGACAAUGGGCGCAAGCCUGAUCCAGCCAUACCGCGUGGGUGAAGAAGGCCUUCGGGUUGUAAAGCCCUUUUGUUGGGAAAGAAAUCCUGUCGAUUAAUACUCGGUGGGGAUGACGGUACCCAAAGAAUAAGCACCGGCUAACUUCGUG
rnacentral:rRNA from 1 species